rnacentral:rRNA from 1 species
UACGUAGGGGGCAAGCGUUGUCCGGAUUUACUGGGCGUAAAGAGCGUGUAGGCGGCCACGCAGGUCCGUUGUGAAAACUGGAGGCUCAACCUCCAGCUGUCGACGGAAACCGUGUAGCUAGAGUCCGGAAGAGGAGAGUGGAAUUCCUGGUGUAGCGGUGAAAUGCGCAGAUAUCAGGAAGAACACCAAUGGCGAAGGCAGCUCGCUGGGACGGUACUGACGCUGAGACGCGAAAGCGUGGGGAGCGAACAGG